UUUGGUUAAGUUAGAAAGGGCGCACGGUGGAUGCCUUGACACUAGGAGUCGAUGAAGGACGGGACUAACGCCGAUAUGCUUCGGGGAGCUGUAAGUAAGCUUUGAUCCGAAGAUUUCCGAAUGGGGAAACCCACCAUACGUAAUGGUAUGGUAUCCUUAUCUGAAUACAUAGGGUAAGGAAGACAGACCCAGGGAACUGAAACAUCUAAGUACCUGGAGGAAGAGAAAGCAAAUGCGAUUUCCUGAGUAGCGGCGAGCGAAACGGAACAUAGCCCAAACCAAGAGGCUUGCCUCUUGGGGUUGUAGGACAUUCUAUACGGAGUUACAAAGGAACGAGGUAGACGAAGCGACCUGGAAAGGUCCGUCGUAGAGGGUAACAACCCCGUAGUCGAAACUUCGUUCUCUCUUGAAUGUAUCCUGAGUACGGCGGAACACGUGAAAUUCCGUCGGAAUCUGGGAGGACCAUCUCCCAAGGCUAAAUACUCUCUAGUGAUCGAUAGUGAACCAGUACCGUGAGGGAAAGGUGAAAAGCACCCCGGAAGGGGAGUGAAAGAGAUCCUGAAACCGUGUGCCUACAAAUAGUCAGAGCCCGUUAACGGGUGAUGGCGUGCCUUUUGUAGAAUGAACCGGCGAGUUACGAUCCCGUGCGAGGUUAAGCUGAAGAGGCGGAGCCGCAGCGAAAGCGAGUCUGAAUAGGGCGUUUAGUACGUGGUCGUAGACCCGAAACCAGGUGAUCUACCCAUGUCCAGGGUGAAGUUCAGGUAACACUGAAUGGAGGCCCGAACCCACGCACGUUGAAAAGUGCGGGGAUGAGGUGUGGGUAGCGGAGAAAUUCCAAUCGAACCUGGAGAUAGCUGGUUCUCCCCGAAAUAGCUUUAGGGCUAGCCUUAAGUGUAAGAGUCUUGGAGGUAGAGCACUGAUUGGACUAGGGGUCCUCAUCGGAUUACCGAAUUCAGUCAAACUCCGAAUGCCAAUGACUUAUCCUUAGGAGUCAGACUGCGAGUGAUAAGAUCCGUAGUCAAAAGGGAAACAGCCCAGACCGCCAGCUAAGGUCCCAAAGUGUGUAUUAAGUGGAAAAGGAUGUGGAGUUGCUUAGACAACUAGGAUGUUGGCUUAGAAGCAGCCACCAUUUAAAGAGUGCGUAAUAGCUCACUAGUCGAGUGACUCUGCGCCGAAAAUGUACCGGGGCUAAAUACACCACCGAAGCUGCGGAUUGAUACCGAAUGGUAUCAGUGGUAGGGGAGCGUUCUAAGGACAGUGAAGUCAGACCGGAAGGACUGGUGGAGUGCUUAGAAGUGAGAAUGCCGGUAUGAGUAGCGAAAGACGGGUGAGAAUCCCGUCCACCGAAUGCCUAAGGUUUCCUGAGGAAGGCUCGUCCGCUCAGGGUUAGUCAGGACCUAAGCCGAGGCCGACAGGCGUAGGCGAUGGACAACAGGUUGAUAUUCCUGUACCACCUCUUUAUCGUUUGAGCAAUGGAGGGACGCAGAAGGAUAGAAGAAGCGUGCGAUUGGUUGUGCACGUCCAAGCAGUUAGGCUGAUAAGUAGGCAAAUCCGCUUAUCGUAAAGGCUGAGCUGUGAUGGGGAAGCUCCUUAUGGAGCGAAGUCUUUGAUUCCCCGCUGCCAAGAAAAGCUUCUAGCGAGAUAAAAGGUGCCUGUACCGCAAACCGACACAGGUAGGCGAGGAGAGAAUCCUAAGGUGUGCGAGAGAACUCUGGUUAAGGAACUCGGCAAAAUGACCCCGUAACUUCGGGAGAAGGGGUGCUUUCUUAACGGAAAGCCGCAGUGAAUAGGCCCAAGCGACUGUUUAGCAAAAACACAGCUCUCUGCGAAGCCGUAAGGCGAAGUAUAGGGGGUGACACCUGCCCGGUGCUGGAAGGUUAAGGAGAGGGGUUAGCGUAAGCGAAGCUCUGAACUGAAGCCCCAGUAAACGGCGGCCGUAACUAUAACGGUCCUAAGGUAGCGAAAUUCCUUGUCGGGUAAGUUCCGACCCGCACGAAAGGUGUAACGAUUUGGGCACUGUCUCAACCAGAGACUCGGUGAAAUUAUAGUACCUGUGAAGAUGCAGGUUACCCGCGACAGGACGGAAAGACCCCGUGGAGCUUUACUGUAGCCUGAUAUUGAAUUUUGGUACAGUUUGUACAGGAUAGGCGGGAGCCUUUGAAACCGGAGCGCUAGCUUCGGUGGAGGCGCUGGUGGGAUACCGCCCUGACUGUAUUGAAAUUCUAACCUACGGGUCUUAUCGACCCGGGAGACAGUGUCAGGUGGGCAGUUUGACUGGGGCGGUCGCCUCCUAAAGUGUAACGGAGGCGCCCAAAGGUUCCCUCAGAAUGGUUGGAAAUCAUUCGUAGAGUGCAAAGGCAUAAGGGAGCUUGACUGCGAGACCUACAAGUCGAGCAGGGACGAAAGUCGGGCUUAGUGAUCCGGUGGUUCCGCAUGGAAGGGCCAUCGCUCAACGGAUAAAAGCUACCCCGGGGAUAACAGGCUUAUCUCCCCCAAGAGUCCACAUCGACGGGGAGGUUUGGCACCUCGAUGUCGGCUCAUCGCAUCCUGGGGCUGUAGUCGGUCCCAAGGGUUGGGCUGUUCGCCCAUUAAAGCGGUACGCGAGCUGGGUUCAGAACGUCGUGAGACAGUUCGGUCCCUAUCCGUCGUGGGCGUAGGAAAUUUGAGAGGAGCUGUCCUUAGUACGAGAGGACCGGGAUGGACGCACCGCUGGUGUACCAGUUGUUCUGCCAAGGGCAUAGCUGGGUAGCUAUGUGCGGAAGGGAUAAGUGCUGAAAGCAUCUAAGCAUGAAGCCCCCCUCAAGAUGAGAUUUCCCAUAGCGUAAGCUAGUAAGAUCCCUGAAAGAUGAUCAGGUUGAUAGGUUCGAGGUGGAAGCAUGGUGACAUGUGGAGCUGACGAAUACUAAUAGAUCGAGGACUUAACCAUAUAA
rnacentral:rRNA from 1 species